rnacentral:rRNA from 1 species
GUAGGGAAUAUUGGACAAUGGGGGGAACCCUGAUCCAGCCAUGCCGCGUGGAGGAAGACUGCCCUCUGGGUUGUAAACUCCUUUUAUAUGGGAAGAACCGUCCUCAUUAAUGAGUGACCUGACGGUACCAUAGGAAUAAGCACCGGCUAACUCCGUGCCAGCAGCCGCGGUAAUACGGAGGGUGCAAGCGUUAUCCGGAUUCACUGGGUUUAAAGGGUGCGUAGGCGGAUAAAUAAGUCAGUGGUGAAAUCAACGGGCUCAACCUGUUAACUGCCAUUGAUACUGUGUGUCUUGAAUAUGAGAGGGGUAGGCGGAAUGUUGCAUGUAGCGGUGAAAUGCUUAGAUAUGCUACGGAACACCGAUUGCGAAGGCAGCUUACUAUUUCGUAAUUGACGCUGAGGCACGAAAGCGUGGGUAGCGAACAGGAUUAGAUACCCUUGUAGUCC